rnacentral:misc_RNA from 1 species
AGCAGCCGCGGUAAUUCCAGCUCCAAUAGCGUAUAUUAAAGUUGUUGCAGUUAAAAAGCUCGUAGUUGAAUUUCGGAAUCAAUGGAUCGGUCAUGCCACUCGGUGUGUACUGGUUUGAUUGGUUCUCACCUUCUAAGGAACCGUGAUGUCAUUAAUUUGGUGUCGCGGGGAAUUAGGACUGUUACUUUGAAAAAUUAGAGUGUUUAAAGCAAGCUCACGCUUGAAUACAUUAGCAUGGAAUAAUGAAAUAGGACAUUGUAUUCUAUUUUGUUGGUUUCUAGGAUCGAUGUAAUGAUUAAUAGGGAUAGUUGGGGGCAUUAGUAUUCAAUUGUCAGAGGUGAAAUUCUUGGAUUUAUUGAAGACUAACUACUGCGAAAGCAUUUGCCAAGGAUGUUUUCAUUAAUCAAGAACGAAAGUUAGGGGAUCGAAGACGGUCAGAUACCGUCGUAGUCUUAACCAUAAACUAUGCCGACUAGGGAUCGGAUGAUGUUAAUUUUUAAUGACUCAUUCGGCUAACCG